GAGUGUAACUGCAGCAGCCAGUGGAUUUGUUGUCCUUCUUCUCACUGUGACAGUGGUACAGUGUGAGAAUGGCUGGGAUGUGAGUUACACUUCUACUGAGAUCUGUGCCGUCAGAGGAUCAACAGUGGACAUUAACUGACUGAUCCGGAGUAUUCAGGUCGUGUGGAGAAUCUCUGUGGAAACAACAAGUGCACUCUGAGAAUCU